rnacentral:rRNA from 1 species
UACAGAGGUGGCAAGCGUUGUUCGGAAUUACUGGGCGUAAAGGGCGCGUAGGCGGCCUUCUAAGUCAGACGUGAAAUCCCCCGGCUUAACCUGGGAACUGCGUCUGAUACUGGGAGGCUUGAGUAUGGGAGAGGGAUGUAGAAUUCCUGGUGUAGCGGUGAAAUGCGCAGAUAUCAGGAAGAACACCCGUGGCUAAGGCGGCUCUCUAGUACGGUACUGACGCUGAGGCGCGAAAGCGUGGGGAGCGAACAGG